GACGAACGCUGGCGGCGUGCUUAACACAUGCAAGUCGAGCGGUAAGGCCCUUUCGGGGGUACACGAGCGGCGAACGGGUGAGUAACACGUGGGUGACCUGCCCGUCAGCUCUGGGAUAAGCCUGGGAAACUGGGUCUAAUACUGGAUAUGACUCCACGGUGCAUGUCGUGGGGUGGAAAGCCUUGUGCGGCUUGAGGAUGGGCCCGCGGCCUAUCAGCUUGUUGGUGGGGUGAUGGCCUACCAAGGCGACGACGGGUAGCCGGCCUGAGA
rnacentral:rRNA from 1 species